UACGUAGGGGGCGAGCGUUGUCCGGAUUUAUUGGGCGUAAAGAGCGUGUAGGCGGCCAGGUAGGUCUGCUGUGAAAACUCGAGGCUCAACCUCGAGACGUCGGCGGAAACCAUCUGGCUAGAGUCCGGAAGAGGAGAGUGGAAUUCCUGGUGUAGCGGUGAAAUGCGCAGAUAUCAGGAAGAACACCCGUGGCGAAGGCGGCCUGCUGGGCUGUUGCUGACGCUGAGGCGCGACAGCGUGGGGAGCAAACAGG
rnacentral:rRNA from 1 species